GACGAACGCUGGCGGCGUGCUUAACACAUGCAAGUCGAACGGAAAGGCCCUGCUUUUGUGGGGUGCUCGAGUGGCGAACGGGUGAGUAACACGUGAGUAACCUGCCCUUGACUUUGGGAUAACUUCAGGAAACUGGGGCUAAUACCGGAUAGGAGCUCCUGCUGCAUGGUGGGGGUUGGAAAGUUUCGGCGGUUGGGGAUGGACUCGCGGCUUAUCAGCUUGUUGGUGGGGUAGUGGCUUACCAAGGCUUUGACGGGUAGCCGGCCUGAGAGGGUGACCGGCCACAUUGGGACUGAGAUACGGCCCAGACUCCUACGGGAGGCAGCAGGGGGGAAUAUUGCACAAUGGGCGGAAGCCUGAUGCAGCAACGCCGCGUGCGGGAUGACGGCCUUCGGGUUGGAAACCGCUUUCGCCUGUGACGAAGCGUGAGUGACGGUAAUGGGUAAAGAAGCACCGGCUAACUACGUG
rnacentral:rRNA from 1 species